CCUACGGGUGGCAGCAGUCGAGAAUCAUUCACAAUGGGGGAAACCCUGAUGCUGCGACGCCGCGUGGGGGAAUGAAGGUCUUCGGAUUGUAAACCCCUGUCAUGUGGGGGCAAAUUAAAAAGAUAGUACCACAGGAGGAAGAGACGGCUAACUCUGUGCGAGCAGCCGCGGUAAUACAGAGGUCUCAAGCGUUGUUCGGAAUCACUGGGCGUAAAGCGUGCGUAGGCUGUUUCGUAAGUCGUGUGUGAAAGGCGCGGGCUCAACCCGGGAACGGCACAUGAUACUGCGAGACUAGAGUCACGGAGAGGGAACUGGAAUUCCCGGUGUAGCAGUGAAAUGCGUAGAUAUCGGGAGGAACACUCGUGGCGAAGGCGGGUUCCUGGACAUUAACUGACGCUGAGGUACGAAGGCCAGGGGAGCGAAAGGGAUUAGAUACCCGGGUAGUC
rnacentral:rRNA from 1 species